rnacentral:lncRNA from 1 species
GCCGCUGGGUGGGGUCGAGACUGGCAGCUGAGAGAUACCAAAAGGAAGAAAAAAGAAAACCAUUGCUCUUGAUAUUGCUAAUGCCGGGGGAGCAUUGGUGAGAGAGUGCAUUCUUGACUUGUGCCAGUUUUCAAGAGAUGUGGUUGGAGCUGGAAGCUGUUAUCCUCAGCAAACUAAUGCAGGAGGAGAAAACCAAAUACUGCAAGUUCUCACUUAUAAGUGGGAACUGAAUGAUGAGAACAUUUGGACAUGAAGCUGGGCAGAGAAAUCGAGCUGCAAAAUGACCUACAGAUAUUACAGUUUUAUUCUUGGAAAAUGGAGGUUGUCUAUUAGUGUGAUGGUAACAACCAACUAAUAAAAUUUGGAGACUAGACUGCUUGUCAUGUCUGGGGUUCACUGGAAAUCAAUGAUUCACUGGAACAAUUCUCCUGUCAAAAAAAAUGUGAGGUUUGUAACUUGCCCUAAGUAUAACAAGGGAUAUAUUUUAACAAAGGAUGUAUUUUUUCUUAAGAAGCAACCAUUUCUCAGCUUAUACAUAAUAGCAAUAAUAAAGUCUUUGACCCU